UACGUAGGUGGCAAGCGUUGUCCGGAUUUACUGGGCGUAAAGGGCGUGCAGGCGGUCUGUUAAGUCUAGGGUGAAAGCUCCCGGCUCAACUGGGAGAGGUCCUUGGAUACUGGCGGACUUGAGGGAGGCAGAGGAAAGUGGAAUUCCCGGUGUAGUGGUGAUAUGCGUAGAUAUCGGGAGGAACACCCGUGGCGAAAGCGGCUCUCUGGAACGGUACUGACGCUGAGACGCGAAAGCGUGGGGAGCGAACAGG
rnacentral:rRNA from 1 species